CUUUGAGCCCCGUGCAGGCAUGCAUAUCCGGGUCACAGUCGCUUCAUAUUUCACAGGCAACAUGGCCACGGUAGAAGGAACACGUGAACGUAAAAAAACACCCGAAAAUGCGCAUUUUCUUGGUCAGAGCCGCAUUUUUCCCCGUAGAAGAGUGGAUGAGUGCCUUCGUCAUUGAACAUCCGACUUAGGCUUGACAAGUGCUGGGAGAAAAUGAAGUACCAGGAAUGAGAAGAGGAUGACAACUCACACAAGUCCUUAUUCAAGGUAGCCCCAAGGCCAGACUAUGCUGACAACAAAUUGCAUGCUGCAUCCUUUAUUCAAAACAAGUCUCUACAAGGAUCAUGAACUAAUUUAUACAAUGCAACAAGAUAAGUGAGUUAAAAAGGUUACUUCACAGAAGCAAAAUUCCUCUUUUAAUCUGUCAACAGACUGUCUGAACAUUUGUCAUAUCAUGAUGCUAGGAGGCAGUGAUAUGUGGAAUAACUGUCACCAAUCUUAAGUCUGUAUUUAACAUAAAUGCACACAAACCAUGCAAGGUGACAAGUUCAUUUACUAGGGGAAACUGAACUGCAGCUAGCAGUGGUGAUGUAAAAAUCUAGCUAGUGAGUCAACUCUGGGACAUCACAGAACCUGGCAUGGACAUUGAGGAAGUUGGAGUUGGACACUAUCCACAUUCUGACAGGACUCUCUUAGUAG